GUUCACUUCAAAAUGGCGCUCGCUGUGCGUAGAAAGUAGUACUCGUGUAAACGUGUAAAAUUGGAGAUAGCAUAGAAGAAAACUGAAAGGGUUCGCGGUUCAACUUUUUCUAACGGUUUCCUCAGCGUCCUUUACGAAGUUCAGUUGAUAUCGUGUCCACGUCCAGGGUAGAUCAGACCAGAUCUGCAAAUCUUGGAGCACUCGUCGUAUGCCAUUAAAAAAAUAAAGGGUUCGCGGUUCAACUUUUUCUAACGGUUUCCUCAGCGUCCUUUACGAAGUUCAGUUGAUAUCGUGUCCACGUCCAGGGUAGAUCAGACCAGAUCUGCAAAUCUUGGAGCACUCGUCGUAUGCCAUUAAAAAAAUUAAAACAUGCCUGUUAUAAAAAUUUGGUCUGUAGAUCAAAAAAUCAAAAAAGCGGUUCAAAUAAUGGACCCAACAAUAGAAAAUGUUAUUGAAAAUGGUGAGUAAAUCUAAAUUAAUUUGACUUUUCGUAAUGAAAUAUUUUUUGUGUAAUUGUAGAAUGUAGUGUAUUGUAGAAUAGACUAUAAUUGGAUACCUAUUGUUAAGCAUUAAUGUGCUGACUCAAACCACAUUUAUUUUGCAGUAACAUCGUUGCUUAUCAUGAACAGUGGUACAACUAAAAAUGAAAUGCUAUUUAUUGCAUUUAAUAUUCUAUCUUUUACUGGUAAGAUUUAAAGUCGUGAUGUCAAUUUAAAAAUUAGACGCUUGAAGUUGACAUAUUGCAAAAUCAAUGUGGUUUGACAUAUUAAUAUUUUUGCUAAACAGUAUCCAAUUAGGUAUGUAGAUUGUAGAUAGAGGCCUAUUUUCUGUCACUUAAUUAGAUCUAUUCGUGCCGAUAUACCUCUAUGUAAAUACAUACAAACUUGUUAUACCCUCUCUCAUAUAUCUAUGUGAAUGGUAGUAGAGUCGCACCAAGAAAAGUCUGCAGCGGAUUUGAUAGCCCACGCAGUGUGUUAUUUAUACGUCAUAAUUUCAUAGAAGUUUGACGUUUAAAAUGACACUUGCACUGCGUGGGCUAUCAAAAUCACUGCAGACUUUUCACAGUCUGACUCUAUUAAGCAAAUAUUUAAUUACAUUGUACGCCAUAGCGCUAACUUGAAAAGUCACACUUACAUACAGAAAUUUGUUUAACAUAUUAAGUAAUUAGUGAUCACCUGAUCGGUUACAACAUUCUAAUUUACAUGUAUGUAUGACGACCGGUCUGGCCUAGUGGGUAGUGACCCUGCCUGCGAAGCCGAUGGUCCUGGGUUCGAAUCCCAGUAAGGGCAUUUAUU